UGGGUAGACAAUAUGAGAAGCUGCUAUAAUUGUUAGAGAAAGAAAGUGACAACCUGACAAGAAAUAGCUCUCCUGGCUAGAGAUAUCAAGUCUAUUGUCCAAAGGGAGAAACGAUGGAGACAUUGAUUUAUGCUUUAUUCAUAUUCUUGUGGCUGCAUCUGACCUGUGUCAGCCAAGGAGAGAAGGUGGAGCAGCACCCUUCUACCCUGAGUGUCCAGGAGGGAGACAGUGCUGAUAUCAACUGUACUUAUUCAGAGAGUGGUUCAUCUUACUUCCCCUGGUAUAAGCAAGAAGAUGGAAAAGGUCCCCAGAUGAUUAUAGACAUUCAUUCAAAUAAGGAGAUAAAUCAAAUCCAAAGAUUCAUUGUUGUGUUGGAUAAGAAAGCCAAACACUUCUCCCUGAACAUCACAGCCACCCAACCUGGAGACUCAGCUGUCUACUUCUGUGCAGCUGAUGCACGAUGCUUCCCAAACACCUGCAGCCUGUACUCAAACCUAUCACUGGGCUGAGCCCCACCUGCUUCGUUUUUUUGCAAAGACCUUCCAGUAUUGCAUUUUCUAUAUUGUUAUUUUUGCAAGUGGAAUCUAGCAUAUAGGCAUUCAAAGUAU